rnacentral:rRNA from 1 species
GAUGAACGCUGGCGGCGUGCCUAAUACAUGCAAGUAGAACGCUGAAGCUUGGUGCUUGCACCGAGCGGAUGAGUUGCGAACGGGUGAGUAACGCGUAGGUAACCUGCCUCUUAGCGGGGGAUAACUAUUGGAAACGAUAGCUAAUACCGCAUAAAAGUCGACAUCGCAUGAUGUUGACUUGAAAGGUGCAAUUGCAUCACUAAGAGAUGGACCUGCGUUGUAUUAGCUAGUUGGUGAGGUAACGGCUCACCAAGGCGACGAUACAUAGCCGACCUGAGAGGGUGAUCGGCCACACUGGGACUGAGACACGGCCCAGACUCCUACGGGAGGCAGCAGUAGGGAAUCUUCGGCAAUGGGGGCAACCCUGACCGAGCAACGCCGCGUGAGUGAAGAAGGUUUUCGGAUCGUAAAGCUCUGUUGUAAGGGAAGAACGAGUGUGAGAGUGGAAAGUUCACACUGUGACGGUAACUUACCAGAAAGGGACGGCUAACUACGUGCCAGCAGCCGCGGUAAUACGUAGGUCCCGAGCGUUAUCCGGAUUUAUUGGGCGUAAAGCGAGCGCAGGCGGUUAGAUAAGUCUGAAGUUAAAGGCUGUGGCUUAACCAUAGUACGCUUUGGAAACUGUUUAACUUGAGUGCAGAAGGGGAGAGUGGAAUUCCAUGUGUAGCGGUGAAAUGCGUAGAUAUAUGGAGGAACACCGGUGGCGAAAGCGGCUCUCUGGUCUGUAACUGACGCUGAGGCUCGAAAGCGUGGGGAGCAAACAGG